rfam:Hepatospora eriocheir strain GB1 NODE_5850, whole genome shotgun sequence.
GGCUCUGUAGUAUAUUGGUAGUAUUUCAGACUGAAGAUCUGACGGGCCGGGUUCGAAUCUCGGCGGAGCCA